GUCCCUUCUGACUUGAGUAAACAGAAUGGCAACAAUUUGCUUGUUCAUGACAAAAACAAGUAUCGAUCUAUGUUGGUCCGUGCAUACUCAUCCCUUUGGAUGGUUGCACUCGCUUCAAUUAUAGUGUACCUCGGUCAUCUCUAAAUCUUUACCAUGGUAGUUAUCAUACAAAUAUUUAUGGUCAGUGAGCUUUUUACCUUGAGUAGAAGAGCUCAUGAAGAAAAGCGACUUCCAGGAUUUAGGCUUUUGAACUGGCACUUCUUCCUUACAGCAGUGCUAUUCAUGUAUGGCCGGAUACUCUUGACAGUGGCAAUAGAGUCACAAUAACUCUUAUGGUCUAUGACCAGCCCCGGUGGGUUAUAUCAAUGGGAAGUUGUGUAUAUGGAGGUGGAUACUAUCAUUAUUCCUACUCUGUUGUUCGAGGUUGUGACCGGAUUGUUCCAGUGGAUAUCUGUCCCUGGCUGCCCACCAACAGUUGAGGCCUAGCUUUAUGUACUUCUGCAGCUACAAAAGAAAAUUAACAAGCGCAAGGAUUUACUUCACUUGUGGACCAAGUGAGCACAUUCUGCUUAUAUUCCUUUAACAUGGCUACAUUUUGGCGAGAUACUAAUCAGUGUAGUAUAUGCCGGCUUGUUAUGGCCAAGGGUCAUUCAUGAUAUCUGAAGAAAGCCCCUUGAAAUUACUCUAAACUGUAAUGCCCAGUUGUGGUUUUUUAUUGUAUCUAAUGAGAGGUUUACAUGUUCUUUUAGUUUUCUCACUUCCAAAUUUAAAAAAAAAAUUGAAACUCUAUAUGUUAUUUUUCUUUCUGGCUGAAGUGAAGCUAUCCUUUGGUUUUGUAUCUGGGUUAAGGAUGAAGAGAACCUUUGAUUAAAAUUCAGUCUUCUAAUAAGAUUCUGAAACUUUGUAUGUUCAGUAG